GGAAAGAAGGUUUGUACACAAACAUAGAAGAGGAUUCUUUACGGUAAGAGCAGUGAGACUAUGGAGCUCUCUGCCCGAGGAGGUGGUGAUGGUGAGUUCGCUAAAAGAGUUCAGAAGGGGACUGGAUUUAUUUCUGGAGUGUAAUAAUAGUACAGGGUAUA